rnacentral:lncRNA from 1 species
AGAUGAAGACCCUGAGACCCAGACAUAUCUAAGAACAUUCUAGAUACACAGUUAAGAAACGACAGGGCUGAGAUUUGAUCCAGGACAGUCUAGCUCCCUUAAGGCAUAUAUUGCCUCAGAGGCUCUGGUCAGCACAAUGAAACAGGGAAAGUGGCAGGAGGAAGCAGUGCAAGGAGAAUGCUUCAGAGAAAAGUCUGCAAAGUUUUGGGGGACCCUGAGGGAUGAACUACCACCGACAAAUGAGGCAAGAAAAGCUGUGGCGUUUGGGGGAGCAAUCUGCCACAUUGUUACUAAUAUUUUCUGGUCAUUGCUACUUCUGAAUAAGCUUUAGUUUGAGCGAAAGAAUUCCACUUUGUUCCUAAGGGUCCUUCAGGCUUGAUACGUCUUGGAAGUCCUCUACUGCUUCCUGAAUGCACACACGUAAAGAUUUCAGCAUCAGCCACCCAAAGACUUACCUAAAUUGCUGGCUGGAUUUGGGAACCACGUAGGUAUAUGUGAGCAGAGGAAAGGAGCUGACUUUGGGGAGACUGAACUCCAAUGGGAGGAAAUUAGUGGGUAAAUGAAAUGAGUUAAGUGGCACAAAUAAAGGAUGCCUGUGAGCAAGGGCGGCAGGUACCUGUAUGAAAAAGGUGCAUCCUGUUCGUGGUUUAGAUACUCUGGGAUCUGAAGAAGUUGGACUCCAAGUCUUGUGAGGUUUGCACAUCUGUGACCCUAGAGACUGGUCACCAGCUUGGCUGAAAAGUCACUGGGGGAGGGAAGCAGCACAGACAAUCACCUAGUGGACUCAGUUUUCACCCUUCUAAAUUUCCUGGGAAUGCACACAUUUAGAUGUAUUCUUUCAACUUUUUAUGCCACAUUCUAAUUUCCAUCUGUCACCUCAAUUCAGCCACAAGGGAUAAGGCGUCUUAAAGUCGUUUGGGCAAAAGCAAAGCAAGACUCACACUGUGGCCCAAACGCUCAAGAUUAUUAGUGUCUUAAACCGAGCUAUUUCCCUCACCUAUGAAAUUCCAAGUAGUGCCUUCCUUUGUGGUCCAGAGAAAGUGGACCUUCUCCAAAGGCAAUUUUCACAUCUAGGAAAAACUGAUCCAGUGACAUCUAUCAUUAAUGCCCAUCUCUGGUGGACAAUGGAUGUUCGAGCCUGCCAAAUCCUUUCCUUUCCUCUGGGGAUCCCAUCCCCCACCCCCGUUCUUGCAGCCGGCAGGGGGCUGGUCCCCUAGGGUCCUGGCUCUGGAGGGGAGGCGAUGGCCCCGACCAAACACAUGUUCCACAAAGCAACCCCAGGGUAGGUCCUCCCGCACCAAUCCAGGUCAAUAAGCCUCAAAUCUAGGACUCUGAGAACUACGUGAAAGGAAAAGCUCCGUCUAUAGGGAAUGCUCACUGUAAGAAUGAUUUAAAGACUGGAAUUUCUGAGGCGGUAUUUCUCCCUCAGGGGGAUUCAGGCAAAGGAUGAAGGCAACACAGAAGUCAGUGAAUUUGGGGCCAUAAAAACGAGUUUCUGGUGAUGCUACCAACCUAUCUGGAUCCGGCCAUGCCAGAAGCCAGGGUCACUGCUGGACUUUUCAAAAUGGGAGCUAAUAAGUCAUUUUAGCAUGUUCUUAAGCUGGGUUGAACUGACUCCUCUGUCACUUACACGCAAGGGUCCUGAUACCAUCUCUAUUGAGGGUGCUCCAGGCUGCUUCCAGAAAACUUAGAGCAUGUUGUGAAAUUAAAAAAAAAAAAAUAUGUACGAUAUUUAUAAUGAGUUCAUUCUAAUAUAAAGUAGGAAUAUACAUGUGGGAUAUGAAUGUCCUGAAAGCCAGAAGACAGCAAGAGGGCAGAGCGACUGAUUAAAAGGAGGAAUCACUCCCUCCAAGGUGAUGGAUUCACGAUUCGCUAGGGCUUGACAGUCCAGGACAGGAGCCCUAAGCCACAUGUGGCGAUGGAGCACUUGCUCUCUGGCUGGCACAGUGGACGUGUGCCCUAAGUGUGAAGGCCACUAGGUGCCAACCAAAGAACCCAAGGAGUCUCAUCAAUCAUUUUUAUAUUGAUGACGGGGUCAACGUAAAAACAUCUGGCAAACAGGAGGUUCAAUUAAAAGUACUACUGCCAUGAUUUUCACCUGUUUCUUUUGGACCUGUUAUAGUACAGCUACUGGACAAUUUUCAAUUACAUACGUGGCACGUGUUCUGUUUUUACUGGACAGGGUGGCAUGAGACCUGUAAUGGUUAUAAGGUUCUGCUUUAUGUUGAACCGAAAACCCCUGCCCUGACACACCCACCCUGGUUUUCCUUAUCUUGAACUAAUGUGGUUGACCCAGAGUGGGAGGAGAGGGUGAAAAAUGAGUCAAAUCCAUUCUUCACAGUACAGCCCCUCGGCGAUUUGAAGCAGCUCCCAGAUUCUUCCCAUAACUUCUCUUUUCUGGGCCAAACACCCCACGUCCCUCCCUUGUCUUUGGAACCUUCCAGCUUCCCUUAAAAUAGGGGGCUCAGCAUUCUUGCUGGCUCGCCAGCCAGAGACACCAGCUUUCCAUUAAUGUGACCCUGAUGUUAUUAGCAUCUUUGGUACCUGAGGCCUCCACCAGAGAUUCUCAAAGGCUAACCCUCAGACCAGGGGCAUCAGCAUCUCCCGAGAACUAGUCUGAAAUGCAGAUUCUCUGGCUCCACCUAAAACCUCCCGCAUCACCAAGUCCGGGGUGGGGGCGGGACCCAGCAACAGAGCUUUAAUGAACCUUCCAGGUUUGAAAGAGUGUGAGAACGGCUCAUUCCCAAAGCCAUCUAAAAUAUUCUGCCUUUUGGCCAGGUUUCCCCUGUUUGAUUUUUUUACGAUUAUGCAGGCAUCCGCCUUUUGUUGCUGUUAGUGCAUCAGAAUCUUGGUCCAUGUUCUCGCUGUCUGAGCCUCAGGAAUAGAGUCAUUUCUCCCUGCUUUGUGGCAACUACACCUUGAACAAUGCCGUGUUCAUCUUUAUCCACAGCUCUGAUAUGGACACUGAGCAACACAAGCUCCACAGCAGGCUCACACUUCCUUUCCCUUCACGCCGAGGGUCGUGCUGUUGCCUCUGCCUCAGAGAUGCUUCUGAAGCCCGACUCCCUCACUCUACAGUGGCUCUUCCCGGCUAGCUCCACUUACACAGUGCCUCCAUCAAGAAAGCUGGGUUUAGGGUGGGUCAUUUGAGUCGUGUGUGGACAGCUAUCAGCGUUUGAUGAAUGACUCCCUUCCUCCGUGGAACGCUGGUUCUCCAGCGGGGUGAUUUUGCCCCUGGAGGGCACUUGGCAACGUCUAGACACAUUUUUAAUUGCCACAACUGGGGCUUGCUACUGGCAUCUAGUGGGUCAAGGCCGAAGAUGCUAUUAAACAUCUUUCAAAGGCACAGGGCAGGCUCCCCUAGUACAGAAUGAUUUGGCUCCAAGAGUCAACAGUGCGGAGGGGGAUAAACCUGCUCCAGAAUGCAA